GGGGCCGACUGGUUUUGACAGCAUUUAUGCAGGAUUGGUAAGCAUGCCGUGCGUUGGAUAAUUAGCACGAUAAUCUGAAUAUUCAAAAUCUAUCUGGCAAUACUCAGUAUGCCAUGGCUGCUUAAUCAGUGAUUAACCACCCAUUUUGGCCGCAAGCAAACAGAUGCCUAUAUCUGUAGCUGCCGCCUAACUCGAAACAAGAAUAGGAUAGUGAGUGUUGUGCUACGGUACACUUGCGAAAACAAAGUAGCUAAGCAUUGCCUUGGUUGGUUUAGUUCCGGUGCAGUGACGAAAAUCAAUACUAAAAUAAGCAUGUAGAAAGCCUUUUGGGCGAAUGUUUGGAACUGGGUUCGACUCCCAGCGGUUCCACAC
rnacentral:tmRNA from 1 species